rnacentral:lncRNA from 1 species
CAACCCCUCUUUUCCUCCUCCUCAGCCUGCUCAGUGUGAAGACAAGAGGAUGAAGACUUAUGAUGAUCCACUUUCACUUAAUGAAUGGUUUCCGCAGAGGCCAAAUAUACCAGAUGACUGUGAAAUUUUCACUUUAAUUUGCAUGCGUCUUUGAAAGUCCAUCUCUUCAAUAUUUUAUGACAGAGUGUGUUGACUUGAAGAAGUUAGAAAUGGCAAAUUCCCUUCCAAACCUGUUUUUCUGCUCUUACUAUAUCUCUAAACUAAACAUGUUGGAUUUGCACUUAUUCGGGUCUAGGUAAGUCACUAAAUAAGGAUAAUCAGUUAUGUAGGAUGUUAUUCAUGAGUAUAGAAUAUUGACCAAUUCA